rnacentral:rRNA from 1 species
UACGGGGGGGGCAAGCGUUGUUCGGAAUUACUGGGCGUAAAGGGCUCGUAGGUGGCCAACUAAGUCAGACGUGAAAUCCCUCAGCUUAACUGAGGAACUGCGUCUGAUACUGGAUGGCUUGAGUUUGGGAGAGGGAUGCGGAAUUCCAGGUGUAGCGGUGAAAUGCGUAGAUAUCUGGAGGAACACCGGUGGCGAAAGCGGCAUCCUGGACCAACACUGACACUGAUGAGCGAAAGCCAGGGGAGCAAACGGG